rnacentral:rRNA from 1 species
AACGAACGCUGGCGGCAUGCCUAGCACAUGCAAGUCGAACGAGACCUUCGGGUCUAGUGGCGCACGGGUGCGUAACGCGUGGGAACCUGCCCUUAGGUUCGGAAUAACUCCCCGAAAGGGGUGCUAAUACCGGAUAAUGUCUUCGGACCAAAGAUUUAUCGCCUUUGGAUGGGCCCGCGUUGGAUUAGCUAGUUGGUAGGGUAAAAGCCUACCAAGGCGACGAUCCAUAGCUGGUCUGAGAGGAUGAUCAGCCACACUGGGACUGAGACACGGCCCAGACUCCUACGGGAAGCAGCAGUGGGGAAUAUUGGACAAUGGGCGAAAGCCUGAUCCAGCAAUGCCGCGUGAGUGAUGAAGGCCUUAGGGUUGUAAAGCUCUUUUACCCGGGAUGAUAAUGACAGUACCGGGAGAAUAAGCUCCGGCUAACUCCGUG